GAUGAACGCUGGCGGCGUGCCUAAUACAUGCAAGUCGAGCGAACAGACGAGGAGCUUGCUCCUCUGACGUUAGCGGCGGACGGGUGAGUAACACGUGGAUAACCUACCUAUAAGACUGGGAUAACUUCGGGAAACCGGAGCUAAUACCGGAUAAUAUAUUGAACCGCAUGGUUCAAUAGUGAAAGACGGUUUUGCUGUCACUUAUAGAUGGAUCCGCGCCGCAUUAGCUAGUUGGUAAGGUAACGGCUUACCAAGGCAACGAUGCGUAGCCGACCUGAGAGGGUGAUCGGCCACACUGGAACUGAGACACGGUCCAGACUCCUACGGGAGGCAGCAGUAGGGAAUCUUCCGCAAUGGGCGAAAGCCUGACGGAGCAACGACGCGUGAGUGAUGAAGGUCUUCGGAUCGUAAAGCUCUGUUAUUAGGGAAGAACAAAUGUGUAAGUAACUAUGCACGUCUUGACGGUACCCAAUCAGAAAGCCACGGCUAACUACGUG
rnacentral:rRNA from 1 species